GCCAUAAGCGUACUAAGCGCUUGCUUAGGGCCCCGCGGCCACCAGGGGGCCCCCAAAAGCAAUUAACAAAAAAUUCUUAUUUUUUAUUUUUUGCAUGUACGAGUCUGACUGAUGAUUUCUAAAUGAUCAAAGAUAUAUUAUUGUACAAAAACACAAUUUUAGGUCAACAGAGUGCUGCUGCUGAUCUAGGCCUAGUGAUUCUUCCUGCCUCUCUUUAAAUGUAAAGCUGCCUCUGCUGCACCUGUGACGUUUGCCGCCCGCCGUGCAAUGCCAGUGCGCACUGGGCAUCAAAAGCGCAGAUAGAGGCAAAACAAUGUCACAAAAAAGGACAUAUCCUUCAGGUGCAGAAAAAAAGGAAGAAGAAGAAAGUGGAAGAGGAGAAAAAAUGCCAUGAUAAAGGUAUGUUUGCAUGACUUGGUAAUAAAAAGUUUAUCAAAGAGAUUUGUAGCUGUAAUUAGCUUUAGUUAGGUGACGUUAGCUAGCUAGCAAUAUGUUUUUAGCAUCAGGUUACUAGUGAGAUAUGUUGUUUGCACAAAUUGUUUGCAGCAGAGCACGGUAAUUUAUGUGAGUAAAAUAAACAUUAUUUUUUACAUCAACUCAUAAGUUAUGUGAAACUUCCCCAGGAGCAUUGUUAAAAUACUUUGGAGGCACAGAAUCAGCCCAAAGCCAGUCCACAUCCUCAGGCUCAACUGUGAGUGAUGAAUCAGGUCCAUCUCCAUCUUCUACAGUGCUCUCUCACACACCUCCAUCCUCUGUGCCCACUGUCCCCUCCAUGUCUAAAACCACAGCUGAUUUAUCUACAACUUCCACCACAACGUCCCCUUCACACCAUGGACCAUCAUCGCUCCGCCAGUUGACCCAGCUGAGUGGCCUUCUUUCCUCUCAGAUUCAGACAGGACUGAGCAGGUGAUCAGAGGACCACUGUCUAUUAAGGAGAACUUUUCAUUCCCCAAACGGCAUGAUGGCCGAAGUUUUCAUUAUCAUUAUACCUACAGACAGCUAGUAAAUGGGGAAAAAGUCAAGCGUAGCUGGCUGACUUAUUCAAGAAGUAAAGAUGCAGUCUAUUGCUUUUGCUGCAAAUUAUUUUCCAAAAAGUCCUUAAAACUGGCAGCCGAGGGACAGCGGGAUUGGGUCAACAUAGGUGCACUGCUGAAACAGCAUGAAAACAGUGAAGAUCAUUGUAGCAACAUGGUGAAAUGGAAGGAAUUUGCCUUGCGUCUU